GACGGAGGGGGCUAGCGUUGUUCGGAAUUACUGGGCGUAAAGAGUACGUAGGCGGCUAUUCAAGUUGGGUGUGAAAGCCCGGAGCUUAACUCCGGAACUGCACUCAAAACUGAAUGGCUAGAGACCUGGAGAGGUGAGUGGAACUCCCAGUGUAGAGGUGAAAUUCGUAGAUAUUGGGAAGAACACCAGUGGCGAAGGCGGCUCACUGGACAGGUACUGACGCUGAGGUACGAAAGCGUGGGGAGCAAAC
rnacentral:rRNA from 1 species